rnacentral:ncRNA from 1 species
AACAACGCAGAUAAGGGAAGUCGGCAAAACGGAUCCGUACCUUCGGAACAAGGAUUGGCUCUAAGGGCUGAACCGGUCGGGCUGAUGCUUCGAUGCGUGUCUGGUGCGGUCGCUGGCUGCCGGUUGGAGGAGCGGUCCGUCCGCCCGGCGUUGGGCUCCCGUCGAUUGCUUGAGCGACUCUGUCGCGGAGGGCAUCGGCGAUUCGGAUGCGCUUCGCCGGAGCGCGGUCCUUCUGAAGCCGCAGACGGUAACGAAGCCUGCACGCGGACGACUUCAGCUGUGUGUGUGCUGUGCUUGUUGGUAACUGACAAGCCACUUCGUACGGCACUGAACAGCCGACUUAGAACUGGCACGGACCCGAGGAAUUGGACUGUAUAAUUAAAACAAAGCAUUGCGACGGCUGGUGAUCGGUGAAGAAGAAAUGCGCAUUUGGAGCGAAGACCGAGGAUAUUUGAAGAAAUUUCGUGGUAAUUUCCGCUAU